UCCUUUCUCCUGUUUGUUAUGUAACAAACCAUUUCACUUUAAUUUGUUGUUGUUAAUGCUCUCAUAUAUGUAUCCCUUUUCAAAUAUUUGGCAGUCCUUAUUUAAAUUGAGGGUACCAUCUCUCUCUCGAUGAGGUAGGGAUAAGAUUUGCAUACGUUUUACCCUCUUCAGACUCUACUUGUAGGAUUACAAUGGUUUUGUUG
rnacentral:lncRNA from 1 species